CAGUGGCUCAAUGGGAAAGCUUCUGUUUUAGGAUCUGAAGAUUUUGGGUUCGAUUUCCACAAUGAC
rnacentral:tRNA from 1 species